UACGUAGGUGGCAAGCGUUGUCCGGAUUUACUGGGCGUAAAGAGCGCGCAGGCGGUCGUCCAAGUCGAAUGUGAAAGCCCACGGCUCAACCGUGGAGGGUCAUUGGAAACUGGGGAACUUGAGUGCAGAAGAGAAAAGCGGAAUUCCACGUGUAGCGGUGAAAUGCGUAGAGAUGUGGAGGAACACCAGUGGCGAAGGCGGCUUUUUGGUCUGUAACUGACGCUGAGGCGCGAAAGCGUGGGGAGCAAACAGG
rnacentral:rRNA from 1 species